GGGCAGAACCGCAGGCGGGUUAAUCAGGUGAGUAGCCGGGGACUGAAAAGAAGCCGAAGCCGGUUUUUUUGCUAGGAAAGUCUACAACACCAUGCAGGGACAUUGCAAAAUCUUUACACACGCCUCCUUUCACUGGGCUUCCGCGACCUCAGCCGGAGAAGGGGGGAGAUGCUGGUCCGAGGCAGCCCGAGCCCCCCUCCUCCAGCAGCUGCCUGGGGAUGGGUAAGCUUCCCUGCAGGAUAGGGCCCCUUGAAACAGCUGCUCCGCAUCAGGCGGAGCGGCUGGGGAGGGGAAGAAAGGCGGCGGUGGGCAUCCGAGGGAUUCGCGGGCCUCCCUGUUUCCUUGGUAGAGUCGAGCCGCACUCAGUCUGACCCAGGACGUCACUCUGCCUGUCUGUUUUCUCAAUGAUAACUUGGCAGGAGAAGGGAAAAGCUGCGAUCUUUUCCCUCCUUCGCACUGAGAUCAUGGCUUGUUUCCUGUGUUCAGAAAGAAGUUCAUGCACAAUGAGCUAAUCAUCAGAAGGACCAAAUAAUGGACAAAGCCAGAUGACACCCAAUGGAAGAAUGGAUUUACUGAGACAAAUGCUUACUGUUUCUCAGAAUUAGUAGAUGCUCUACUGGGUUUACAAAAAUAUUGGAUUAUGACACUUUGACUCUGAACUGACUUCAAAAUAACUGAUAUACUUAAGGGGAUGCAGACAAGAAGUGGAUUAAACAGCUCUUAUGUUCUGUGGAUUAAUGUAAAAGCAGAAUCUAACUAUAAUAUUGUAGAACCUGUAUGAAAAAUAUACAAUUCCCCUACAGCCAACAAAUUUCCUAUCUGAGUUCCUGUAAACUGGUGAUCUUAGCAUUAAAAAUAAAAUGCAAUGUUAUAGAGGGUAACACUACGAAAAAUAGGGUAAAAAAAGUGAGCUAAUGCUUAUGUUUUGCUUCCAAUGAAGGCAAAAAUAAAACUGAAAGCAGGGGAAAUAUAGGAUGAGAAGAGGAAAGAAAUAAUAGCAUGUCAUAGAGAGUUACAAAUGACAUGUCAAUAAAACAAAUUAAGUAAAUAUUAUAAUGUUGAUGCAAAGACCUGUAAUAUCAUCAUGGUUUCUAGUUGAAGCUAUAUAAUAUGAACGUCAAAAUUUAUUUUAUUGUAAGUCUAGAAAUAUCUUUAGAAACUAUGUUAAGGAGAAGAAGAAGGUAUUCAUAAGUCUGAUUCUAUCCUGUCAUAUUUUAUAUCAAACAAUGUCCCAAAGUUGCUUUUUCAAAAGGCAACUGAACUUUUUUUGUUUUUGUAUGAAGAUGUUUCGCUUCUCAUCCAAGCGUAGAACCACCCAACACUGAAGAAGCUUCUUGGAUGAGAAGCAAAAUGUGUCCAAGCGAAACCAAAGAAAUUCCAGUUGCUUUUUGAAAAAGCACCUUUGAAACAACCACAAUCUAGAUGAUUGAGAAUCUCCACAGACAUACAAAUAUGAAACAAUGAUUUUCUAUUACAUCUUUUAAUUGUAACAUUAACGCACAUAUCAUUAUUAGAAAAAAAUACUAUUCCGAUUGAUUAUGAUUAUGUGCUGUGAACUUGUGUUGACUUUUAGCAGCAAGUAAGCAUCUGCAUUGGGCAGCAGUGAUAUAGGAAGAUGCUGGAGGCAAAUAAGAAUGAUAAAGACUAUAAAGGCAAAAGUAGAAUCCAGAGAUAUUUUUAUUCUGCUUUUAUCUGAAUGAAAUAUUAACCUUAUUAUUUUCAUUAAUCUGAAUUUUCAUUAAUCUGAACCUUAACAUAUUUCAGAAAAUCAGUGGGACUGAUUUUGAUUUACUAUGGCUAAGAUUGUGUCCAAACUCUGGUUAAAAGCUGUGGAGGAUUAAAAUUGCAUAAAAAAGUUUCCAAAAGUUUGCCGCAUUUACUAUGCACAAAGGAACCAUCUAACAGCAAAUCACGAUCUAAGAACAAGCCAGGUAGUUGCUUCAUCUCACUUCCUUAGCAGUGUUGUCAUUGCUAGAGAGCAAACAGCACAAAGAAGCAAUUUUAACUAUGCCGUGAAGAUUGAGUAAAAAGGCACAAAGCACUGGCAACCAAGAUGUGAAAGGAAAAUGUAGACUGUUGUGCAGAUUAAAACAAUGAGAUAAUAAGUUGAAUGCAGCAACAAUUAUAUUAUGCUAUACAUAGCAAAGUGAUGUAAUAUAGACAAUUUAUUGCUGUCACCUUUGUAAUGUCUCAUUCCUGCUUUGCUUUAGUCGGUUUAUAGAUUAUAUGGGAUAAAAAUAUAAUUUCAACCCUGGAGAAUUUUCGAAUAAAUGACCUCAUACUUGGAAUGUCUAACUGGAAACGGAAUGGUCCCAGUCCCCAGAAUCAAUUAGGUGUUUGAUAUAUCUCACCUUCUGUUACACUGUCCAAAAAAUUAAAUAAC